rnacentral:rRNA from 1 species
UAGGGAAUCUUCCACAAUGGGCGAAAGCCUGAUGGAGCAACGCCGCGUGUGUGAUGAAGGGUUUCGGCUCGUAAAACACUGUUGUAAGAGAAGAAUGACAUUGAGAGUAACUGUUCAAUGUGUGACGGUAUCUUACCAGAAAGGAACGGUUAAAUACGUGCCUG